rnacentral:rRNA from 1 species
GACGAACGCUGGCGGCGUGCCUAAUACAUGCAAGUAGAACGCUGAAGAGAGGAGCUUGCUCUUCUUGGAUGAGUUGCGAACGGGUGAGUAACGCGUAGGUAACCUGCCUUGUAGCGGGGGAUAACUAUUGGAAACGAUAGCUAAUACCGCAUAACAAUAGGUGACACAUGUCAUUUAUUUGAAAGGGGCAAUUGCUCCACUACAAGAUGGACCUGCGUUGUAUUGGCUAGUAGGUGAGGUAACGGCUCACCUAGGCGACGAUACAUAGCCGACCUGAGAGGGCGAUCGGCCACACUGGGACUGAGACACGGCCCAGACUCCUACGGGAGGCAGCAGUAGGGAAUCUUCGGCAAUGGGGGCAACCCUGACCGAGCAACGCCGCGUGAGUGAAGAAGGUUUUCGGAUCGUAAAGCUCUGUUGUAAGUCAAGAACGAGUGUGAGAGUGGAAAGUUCACACUGUGACGGUAACUUACCAGAAAGGGACGGCUAACUACGUGCCAGCAGCCGCGGUAAUACGUAGGUCCCGAGCGUUAUCCGGAUUUAUUGGGCGUAAAGCGAGCGCAGGCGGUUAGAUAAGUCUGAAGUUAAAGGCUGUGGCUUAACCAUAGUUCGCUUUGGAAACUGUUUAACUUGAGUGCAGAAGGGGAGAGUGGAAUUCCAUGUGUAGCGGUGAAAUGCGUAGAUAUAUGGAGGAACACCGGUGGCGAAAGCGGCUCUCUGGUCUGUAACUGACGCUGAGGCUCGAAAGCGUGGGGAGCAAACAGG